GAAUGAACCUUUUGAUUAAGGAGGUAUCAGACCCAGAGCCUACCCAGAGCUUGUAUGGAAAACAGGUAGGUAUCUAACUAAAUUCAAACUUCUGGAACCCCGAACAGAUAACCAGGCACAUGGCUUGAAACAGUUGAAGCAACUUGAAAACACUGCAGCAAACAACUACCCCUAUCAAUCUACCAGGAACCAGCCUCCUGGGAACAGAAAAGCAGAGCACACAUCCAAUUCAUUAACUGUUCUCCAAGAGAAGCCACGGCUGCAGAAUAGUGCUGCUUUUCCUUUGCACUAGACCUAUGCCAGCAACCUUUUCCUCAAGAAUGUCUCCUUCCUUCGGCUUCUGAUGACUCAUAACAGGGCAAAUUGCCUUCCUUUUCUCUGAAGGUUAUUUUUUCCUCAACUGGACAAUGUAGGUUGACUCUAUUUGCUGUUAUGCAAAUACAGCCUCCAGACAAUAACUUUCCAAAUCAGGCUUUUACCAAAAAAGAAAAGAAAAUGAUCUGAGAAGGGCUUUAAAAAAGAAACAGCAGAGAUGCAUAUCUUUCAAAAGCUGCACUGCUGAGACUGUCUCCAGUCACACGUUACUAAUACCCCAGCUUCUACUGUCUGGAGCCCAUGCUGCAAAUAUUGUUUUUCCCAGAAAUCACAGUGUUCAUUGGCUUUAUUUUGUGGACAGCAGACUCCCUCUCUUCCGUACCCCUGCAAAAGUCCAGGCAACUUCUUUUCAGUGGGUCUGAAAAAGCUGAACAGUGAAACUGCCAAAGCCAGGACUUGUGGAGAGCUUGCAGAGCCUUUCUCCAGCUGCACCUAUGUAGUUCUGUUACACCCUCCACUGUCAUGGAAGUUAUUUUGUACAUCAGUAAAAAAUGAUCUUAAUAAACUCUACUUAUCAUUUUCAUUCCACAUCUGAAUCUGAGAUUUUUGAGGUCAAAUUAUGUCUUCCUAGCACUGCUUCUCACUAAUUUUUUAAUGGGCAAAGCUCGAUAAAAACAAUCACAUUACUCUCUUUCAAAUCCUACCUUGAAAUGCUCCUUAACUGCAAUGGCCAUUUAAAACCUUAAUGGCAGUGUGAUUACUGCUGCACUGAGGCUGCGCACUGAUGGAUUAUCGCUGUGUUUGAACUCCCUCCUCUUGUCUGUCUCCGUCUCUUGACUCUUCGUUUUGUUUAGACUGUGAGCUCUUUAGCGCAGAGAUUGUUUUUACAUUCUCAUUUUGGACAGGAGCUAGCACCAUCAGCCUAAGUGCUAAGCUAAUAUAAAGCAUCAACAGGGAAGGCAGCUUUGCCUUGUUUAUGAAUGACUGUUCUCUUCGUGACAUUUCAGCUUUUGUUGCACACACUUUUCUUUGUACAAGAAAAAAUAUUCUUUGUACGAGAGAGAUGAGACACCAGCCUGAAUUUUAAACUACAAUAUUCAAAAUUAGAAAUUAUUUUGAAUAUUUUAGUCUCACUAAAAUAUGGGACAUCUUUUCCAAGUUUCUUUAAAUGCUUUUGACACAAUGUAUGCCAUAAAUACCACUUCCAAAUGAAACAUCACAAUUUCUCUCUUCUCAAUUUCUCCUGCCUGAGAAGUAUCAAUUUUGAGGGCUUCAGGGUCCCCAGAUUCUGUUCUCUUUGGCAGGUCUGUAAAAGUACAGCAAGUCCAAAGAUGAGCUCCAGGGUGGGAAAACUGUAUUUAACACUCAUUUACCCCACACUUUGUUAUAUUCUCACCUCCCUACACAAGCCUUCUAAAACAAACCCCUCCCACAAAAAACAGCAGUCUGUUACCCCAUGCAUCACCAGCAGCUGAAGCCGAAGCCAGCUCAAGCACAGCAAGGAGCCGUGCAGGAACACCCAUGCUGUUCAGGUGCUCCCUUGCACUACCAAGAGGCUGUCAGCAGAAAUGAUGCAGCAGCUCCACUAUUGGGCUUGUCUUAUUUGAUAAAGUUGCCAGAGAUGGGCUGUCUGCUGCCCUACUUGUUUUCUUUCUGGAGAAAUAUGAGUUACUGUGGUAAAAGUUUCCAUCGAGUGAGAGAUUCCUGAGCUGGGUUUUUGGAGGAUUUUGGUUCUCGCUAGCAGGGCCUGCUGCAGCUGACCUCAGUGCAGUUUACACAGCCUGGCUGCUGGGCUCCCACACUGAAACCAGCCAGCCAGUUUGCACAAGUCUCCCAUUCUGAAAUAUGUGUAAUUUAUUUGAGCUGAUAGAGAGGAUAAGAAUCAACUGUCUGUUUCCCAGUUAAUAAAAAACAUACAAUGAGAGGAGAGCUCUGCCAGCAUAUCUUGUUUACCCAAAAAUGUUUGGCAUUAAAUGUGAAAUCGGAAAUGAACUCAUUAUCUGAUUAUUUUCAUUUUGAAGAAUUAACUGCUUUGGGGGAAAGGCUUGUCUUAAACAGUCCCCUUCUACGGAUGACUAAUUGCAAAUUGCAAAUACAUAUCUCUGAAGAAUACAGCAAAUUCUUGUGACUUGCAGGGUAGGACAUAGCACUAUCAACUUGGACAAGAACAUUAGGAGUAUCCACCCACGUGAUUUAUUUCAAAAGAGGAGGAAAAGUGUUUAAACUUGCGGCAUUAUGCCCAUGUAGGUGAGAAAGGAGGAGUUUCAGGAAAGGCCAGGUUUUGUAAUUCUCAUCCAGGCAAUUUGGGUAAGAAGCACUUAAAAAUUAUUGGUAGUGGAUUUGCCCCUUUCCCUCCUACAAAGUAAUUACAUAGCAGCAUACAUAACUAUUAAAUUUUAGAUGUAUAAGUGAAAAUUAAGGCAAUAGGCAUUGGAAUCAGAUACCGAUUCAGGGCUAACAAAGUUUUAUGAAAACUUCCCAUUCUAGCAUUCACCCCAGGUCACUCUGCAUUAGGAGAGAGCUGUAGACAAGACAGCCCAUUGGGCUGCAUCCUUUUGUUUUGUCUCC